UACGAACCGUGCGACCGUUAUUCGGAAUCAUUGGGCUUAAAGGGCGCGUAGGCGGCGAUAUAAGUUGGAAGUGAAAUCCCAUCGGCUCAACCGUGGAAUAGCUCCCAGUACUGUAUCGCUCGAGGGGGAUAGGGGUCUGCGGAACUACCGGUGGAGCGGUGAAAUGUGUUGAUAUCGGUGGGAACGCCAGUGGCGAAAGCGGCAGACUUGACCCUUCCUGACGCUGAGUGCGCGAAAGCUAGGGGAGCAAACGGG
rnacentral:rRNA from 1 species